rnacentral:rRNA from 1 species
CCUACGGGGGGCAGCAGUGAGGAAUAUUGGUCAAUGGGCGUAAGCCUGAACCAGCCAAGUCGCGUGAGGGAUGAAGGUUCUAUGGAUCGUAAACCUCUUUUAUAAGGGAAUAAAGUGCGGGACGUGUCCCGUUUUGUAUGUACCUUAUGAAUAAGGAUCGGCUAACUCCGUGCCAGCAGCCGCGGUAAUACGGAGGAUCCGAGCGUUAUCCGGAUUUAUUGGGUUUAAAGGGUGCGUAGGCGGCCUUUUAAGUCAGCGGUGAAAGUCUGUGGCUCAACCAUAGAAUUGCCGUUGAAACUGGGGGGUGUGAGUAUGUUUGAGGAAGGUGGAUUGCGUGGUGUAGGGGGGAAAUGCUGAUAUAUCACGCAGAACCCGGAUUGGGAGGGCAGCCUGCCAAGCCAUGACUGACGCUGAUGCACGAAAGCGUGGGGAUCAAACAGGAUUAGAUACCCGAGUAGUC